rnacentral:rRNA from 1 species
AUGGCGGUAGCUGGAGUCGGGACAGCGUAUCGCUUUCGCUUCCACCCACACGGCGCCGGCGUCGGCCGCUCGAUGGCGUUUCCCCCGCCGCCGGGAUCCGGCUGCCCGUACAGCUCCGGAGCCCCGUUGAGCUCUCCCGCCUUCGGUGCGGCCACCGGGCCCGGGGUGCUUCAGCAGCAGCUGGAUGUCCUGGACUACUUGUCCGACGACGGCGGGGUGCCCGGCACGGUCGGCGCGCCGCUGCCGGUUGAGGCGGCGGUCGUGCCGGAUGUUGGCUACUGUGAUCAUACGAGUAGGGCGUCCGCGGUGGCGGCGAGCGGCAAGAUCGCGUUCCGGACGAGGUCGGAGGAGGAGAUACUGGACGAUGGCUACAAGUGGAGGAAGUACGGCAAGAAGUCUGUCAAGAACAGCCCUAACCCAAGGAACUACUACCGGUGUUCAACGGAGGGGUGCUACGUGAAGAAGAGGGUAGAGAGAGAUAAAGACGACGCAAACUAUGUAGUGACGAUGUAUGAGGGGGUUCACAACCAUGCGAGCCCUGGCACAGUUUACUAUGCUGCUCAAGAUCCUGCUUCGGGGCGCUUCUUUGUUACUGGGACGCAUCACCUAGCUCCUUGA